AGUGAACGAUGGCGGCGUGCUUAACACAUGCAAGUCGAACGAGAACGAAUUAUAGCUUGCUAUACUUGUCAGCUAAGUGGCGCACGGGUGAGUAAUGUAUAGGUAAUAUGCAUCUUACUAAGGGAUAACCAAUGGAAACGUUUGCUAAUACCUUAUACUCCUUAUUAACAGAUGUUAAUAAGGGAAAGAUUUAUUGGUAAGAGAUUAGCCUGUACUGUAUCAGUAAGUUGGUGGGGUAAUGGCUUACCAAGACUAUGACACAUAACUGGUUUGAGAGGAUGAUGAGUCACACUGGAACUGAGACACGGUCCAGAAUCCUACGGGAGGCAGCAGUGGGGAAUAUUGCACAAUGGACGAAAGUCUGAUGCAGCAACGCCGCGUGUAGGAUGACACAUUUCGGUACGUAAACUCCUUUUAUAUGAGAAGAUAAUGACGGUAUUAUAUGAAUAAGCACCGGCUAACUCCGUGCCAGCAGCCGCAGUAA
rnacentral:rRNA from 1 species